rnacentral:rRNA from 1 species
GACGAACGCUGGCGGCGUGCUUAACACAUGCAAGUCGAACGAUGAACCCGGAGCUUGCUCUGGGGGAUUAGUGGCGAACGGGUGAGUAACACGUGAGUAACCUGCCCUGGACUCUGGGAUAAGCGUUGGAAACGACGUCUAAUACCGGAUAGAACCUUGGAUCGCAUGAUCUGGGGUGGAAAGUUUUUUCGGUCUGGGGUGGACUCGCGGCCUAUCAGCUUGUUGGUGAGGUAAUGGCUCACCAAGGCGUCGACGGGUAGCCGGCCUGAGAGGGUGACCGGCCACACUGGGACUGAGACACGGCCCAGACUCCUACGGGAGGCAGCAGUGGGGAAUAUUGCACAAUGGGCGAAAGCCUGAUGCAGCAACGCCGCGUGCGGGAUGACGGCCUUCGGGUUGUAAACCGCUUUUAGUAGGGAAGAAGGGCUUCGGCUUGACGGUACCUGCAGAAAAAGGACCGGCUAACUACGUG